rnacentral:rRNA from 1 species
GAUGAACGCUGGCGGCAUGCCUAACACAUGCAAGUCGAUCGGUAAGGCUCUUCGGAGUACACGAGAGGCGGACGGCUGAGUAACGCGUAGGAACACACCCUGCAGUGAGGGAUAAGACACCGAAAGGUGUUCUAAUACCGCAUACGGUCUUCGGAUUAAAGCAUUUAUGCGCUGAAGGAGUGGCCUGCGUCAUAUUAGAUAGUUGGUGAGGUAAUGGCUCACCAAGUCGAUGAUGUGUAGCUGGUCUGAGAGGAAGAUCAGCCAGACUGGAACUGAGACACGGUCCAGACCCCCACGGGAGGAAGCAGUGAGGAAUAUUUCAAAAGGGCCGAAAGCUUGAGGGAGCAAGGCGGGGGGAAGGAGGAAGGCCCUGGGGUUGUAAACUGCUUUUAAAAGAAAAGAUUAUGACGGAAAUUUAGGAAAAAGGAGCGGCUAACUACGU